rnacentral:lncRNA from 1 species
GUUCUCAUGCCACAGCCUACUGAGUAGCUGGGAUUACAGGAGCACGCCACCACGACCGGCUCACUUUUUUAUUUUUAGUAGAGAUGGGGUUUCACCAUGUUGGCCGGACCUCAAGUGAUCCACCUGCCUCAGCUUCCCAAAUUGCUGGGAUCAUAGGUGUGAGCCACCACACCCAGCCUGGUAUCUUCUAUUUUAUCUGGCAACCUUAGAAGGAUAAAGAAACCAUGGUAACUCUAAAAACUGCACGUAUUAAGGGAAGAUGUAUAAAGAUUUAAACUAUGAAAAUGUUAUUAUGUCUGAAAAAUCCCAAAGAUGAAUUUUUUCUUUUGUUGAUAAGGGAUGUUGUAUAGGAAUCAAGAGCUUGGUAGACAGAAGUCUUAGAGGCGGAGCUGCCUAGAUUCAAAUUCUGACUCUACCACUUCCUAGCUGUGGCAAGUGACUAAACCUCCUACCUAAGAGUCACGCGGGCUGGAGUACAGUGUCAUGAUCACAGCUCACUGCAGCCUCAACCUCCCAGGCUCAAGCAAUCUUCCCACCUCAGCCU